CAACUACUCCCUCUGUCCCAAAUUUCUUUUCUUAGAUUUGUCUAGAUACUGAUGUAUCUAAUACUAAAAUGUGACUUGAUACAUCCGUAUCUAGACAAAUCUAAGACAAGAAUUUUGGGACGGAGGGAGUACUUU
rnacentral:pre_miRNA from 1 species